GGAGGGUGCAAGCGUUAAUCGGAAUUACUGGGCGUAAAGCGCGCGUAGGCGGUUUGGUCAGUCGGAUGUGAAAGCCCUGGGCUUAACCUGGGAAUGGCAUUCGAUACUGCCUGACUAGAGUAUGGUAGAGGGAAGUGGAAUUUCCGGUGUAGCGGUGAAAUGCGUAGAUAUCGGAAGGAACACCAGUGGCGAAGGCGACUUCCUGGGCCAAUACUGACGCUGAGGUGCGAAAGCGUGGGGAGCAAACAGGGAUUAGAUACCCUGGUAGUCCACGCCGUAAACGAUAAGAACUAGAUGUCGGGAGGGUUGCCUUUCGGUGUCGCAGCUAACGCGUUAAGUUCUCCGCCUGGGGAGUACGCCGGCAACGGUA
rnacentral:rRNA from 1 species